AGCCUGCUUUACUACAAAUGAAACAAGAUGUUCGCAUUGAUCAAGGAGUUUCUUCAAUGAGGCUCCAAUCCGCUGGACAAAGAGAUUCCAGUUAGUGUAUCUUUGACGCCAGGAAGUGCCGUGAUGCAAGUCCUACUUCAAAUCUGCAUCGAGUUGCCGGAUAUUCAUUGCACUGUUGAUCUUCGCUUUUAUGGACAAAUCCAAAGCUUUGAGUUUUGACUGCUUUUGCUGUCGAGAUGCAGCAACCGAAUCGAAGUCUUCAAAAGGUGACUUUCUGCUUUCAGUGGUUGCUGUUUACGUCCAGAGAAACUUCACAGAGGUAAAUUGCAGCACUUAAUUGCUUUCUAGUUAAAUGCUUGAAUAUGAUGAUUCUCCCAAUAGGGACCUCAGCUGAGUGAAUAAAAGCCAUGCUGUAUUAACUUUCUUCUUUCCCCAACUGAAUGCUCUGA